AGGACGAACGCUGGCGGCGUGCUUAACACAUGCAAGUCGAGCGAGAGCCAGUUGAGGGGUAACCCUCGACUGGGGACAGCGGCGAACGGGUGCGUAACACGUGGGCAACCUGCCCCUGACACUGGGAUAACCCCGGGAAACCGGAGCUAAUACCGGAUACUCUCGGCCGAUCACAUGGCUGGCCGAGGAAAGGUCCGCCGGUCAGGGGAUGGGGCCCGCGGCCUAUCAGCUUGUUGGUGGGGUAACGGCCUACCAAGGCGACGACGGGUAGCUGGUCUGAGAGGACGACCAGCCACACUGGAACUGAGAUACGGUCCAGACUCCUACGGGAGGCAGCAGUGGGGAAUAUUGCACAAUGGGCGAAAGCCUGAUGCAGCGACGCCGCGUGAGGGAUGAAGGCCUUCGGGUCGUAAACCUCUUUCAGUAGGGAAGAAGCGAAAGUGACGGUACUGCAGAAGAGCGCCGGCUAACUACGUGCCAGCAGCCGC
rnacentral:rRNA from 1 species